rnacentral:piRNA from 1 species
AACUCAUAAAGGUCCACUUGCCCCUGC